UUUAUAUAUAUUCAUACCCUUUAGUCAAUACAUGUUAGAAUCUCAUUUGGCAGCGAUUACAGCUGUAAGUCUUUCUGGAUACAAUAUUAGAUUUAGCAAUAUUUGCAAACUUUUCUUUUAAAAAUUUCUUCAAGCUCUGUGUUACGGGUUUUGGUUUUCCCAUUAACGUUGGAUUUAUAGCACGUAGGGUGCACCGAUUGGUGUCACCUCGUUAGUCAGUAGGUGUUACACCUGUGCAGGUUGCCAUCUUGUUAGUGGGAAGGUGCUUCACCUGUGCUGGACCGGGUGCUAUUUCAGAGUGGCUGGCCCAGUGCUCCAGUUACCUUGAGAGAUGUGGAGGGUCAACACCUUUAGUUAGCUCGCCCAAUUUGAAUUCUAGAAAACCAUUCCUUUAUCUGAUUUUGUUUUUGCUCCACCAUUUUGGUUUGCUUCCUGUCUUUAAGUUUGGUGUGGGUUUUUAUGUUGUUUUCCCUCAUCUUGGGCAAAUUUAGUGUGUGCUCAUGUUGUGUGUCUUUUAGGUCCCAGUUGUUGUUGCUAGUCAACUUUCUGUGGACACCUCCAUGAGUGUUUUUCAGAACCCCUCCUAAAACCAUCCCUGUUUUGUUUUGGUUGUUGUCAGUGACUCUUUGUUAGUUCCCGCUUCUGUUUUGAGCAACAUUUUUAAAACGUUUUUCUUGCUGGGGAACAUAACAAAAUGGGGGCUCGUCUAGGAUCUUGUUUCCCAUGAGUAUGCUAGUCACUCUAGUCACCUACUCUGAAGCUGUGCCCUGAUAUUUGAGUGUUCAAAAUACAUUUUUGUGGUAGAGUUUCUGUCACUGUCAUCCACCCAAAGGGAUUAUCAGAUUGGGGGAAUCAUUUUGAAAGUUGCAUAAACACACAGGCUAAUAAAAUAAAGCCUUGGACUUCAAGUUGGAUGAAUUGGUGGAAAACGCCACAUGGGAAUUGCUAGAUAAUGGUGAAUCUGCUCGUCAUUGCAAAGCAUUGACACCCCUUUAAAAAAAAAAAAAGCAUUACACCACCCCUUUAAAAAAUAAAAAAUAGCAUUACACCACCCCUUUAAAAAAAAAAACAUUACACCACCCCUUUAAAAAAUAAAAAAUUGCAUUACACCACCCCUUUAAAAAAAUAGCAUUACACCACCCCUUAAAAAAAAAAACAUUACACCACCCCUUAAAUAAAAAAAUUAAAAAAGCAUUACAACACCCCUUUAAAAAUUAAAAAUAAAAGCAUUACAACACCCCUUUAAAAAAAAACAGCAUUACGACAUCAAGGUGGUAUCUGGUGAUCCAAAAGCAGUAGUCAAAAGAGUUUAUUGGUACUGCUUUGGUGGAGGAACAAGUGCUUUGGUUGAUGAAAACAAUGCUACGAGUAGUGGUGUGAGUCCUGUGCAACUGAGGGAUGUGCAACUGAGGGAGAUAGAACUAAAGGCACAACAUAAAUUAGAGAGUUAGAGCACAGGGAAAGACCAGAGGAGUGUGCAGCCAAACAUCAAGAAUGUCAGAUUAAGAGAGAUAGAUCUGGAAGUACUCCGAAUUCAGCCACGCCAUCUUGAACCCUCAACAGAGUUUGAUCUCGGUCUCAACAGCCGUCCUGUACCGUCUUUAUACAAAAAAAGAGAUGGGUGAUUAUUUGACUCUGAGCGGAUUGCCACAUCACUAAAAUGGCCACGGGAUAUUUAGUCACUGCUCCUCCAAAGUGUUCUGGUGGGAAAAGAUCAAAGUCUACGCUGCUGUAUCUCUUGAUCAGAGUUCAGAUUAUGACACACUGUUGAAGCUGCUAUCCGUUGGGCUUAUGAGUUGGUCCCAGAGGCAUAUAGACAACAGGUAUCUUACAAAGUCAUGUUGAGUUCGCAAGGGAACAAGCAUUUCUUUUUGAUCGGUGGUGUGGUUCUCAAGAGGUCAAGAAACUGGAGGAUUUGAAGACACUCAUACUUCUCGAGCAGUUAAAAAAAUUGCCUUCGUGAAAGGGUUGCAUUACAUUUACACUACUUUUAUGAGCACAAGGAUCUCACUCUUGAGGAAGCUGCAGUUCUUGCAGAUGAGUUUGUGUUGACACAUAAAAGUACCUUCACAAACAGAGCACCCAGUAGUUACCCCUAUGCAGGAAGCAAUCCAGAGAGGUCCCCCUCCUACUGCGAGAUUUCAGUCCUUUUCUACAGUGCCCAAAGAUAAAGAUCAUCAGAAAACUUGUUUUUCGCGUCUGCUAGUUUUUCAUUACAAUACACAUUAUCUCUCAGAAACAGCAGUUUUUUUCUUGUGGGGGCACUCCAGCCCAUUAAGUCUCUGGUGGGGACUGGUGUAUCUCCUAAACAAGAUUUUGGAUCAGAUGUGUAUGAACCCUUCAGACGGGUUCGUGUUUCUGCACAGUGGCGAUGGUGUUAAGCAGUCGGUAAAGAUACUGAAAGACACUGGGGCAGCCCAGCCCUUCAUUUUGGAGGGUGUUUUGCCUUUGCUCUGACAUUCAAGUUGGUUGAUGAUCAUUGCUAGACAGCCACAAGUCUUGCCAUUG
ensembl:lncRNA